rnacentral:rRNA from 1 species
GACGUAGGGCGCGAGCGUUGUCCGGAAUUAUUGGGCGUAAAGCGUCCGCAGGCGGCUUUUUAAGUCUGUUGUCAAAGCCCACAGCUCAACUGUGGAUCGGCAAUGGAAACUGGGAAGCUAGAGUGUGGUAGGGGUGUGUGGAACUUCUAGUGGAGCGGUGAAAUGUGUUGAUAUUAGAAGGAACGCCGGUGGCGAAAGCGACACACUGGACCUUGUCUGACGCUGAGGCACGAAAGCCAGGGGAGCAAACGGG